rnacentral:lncRNA from 1 species
UUUUUUCGUCGACUCCCCUGUAGCAGUCGUCCCCCGAUCCGCUCGUUUGGAGAUCAUGUUGAUGAUCCCUGCUGUUGGUUGGUUGUUCGUCGCUUUCUCAGUCGAUUGGGGUCGUCGGUCGGGGACGGGUCGAGUCGGCGGGUUCUGUCGAAAUUUGCCGAGGUACCCUCGUCGUAUGAGGGCCUCAAUCUCAUUUUUGAGCUGGAUGCACUGCUCCGUGUUGUGGCCCCGAUGAAAUCGACAGUAUUUUCGUCGGUCGAGGCCCUUUGCCUUCAAAGGCGGAGGCCGUCGCAGAUAUUCUUCCCCUUCGAUUUCCAUCAAAAUCUACGCACGAGGAGCAGAGAGAGGGGUAUAGGAAUCAUACCUUGGAUGUGUCGGCCUCGGACUCCACCGUCGAGGUGAUCUCGGGCUCCGUCGUUUGGGUGAGACAUGUCUGUUGGUCGGGGGCCUGCUAGACUCGACAGGAGCCCGACCUUUCCUUCGCUUCUCCUUCGGGCCCUUGGCCUCAGUCAG